GCCAGCUGCGCAGGACAUAUUAUAGUGCACGCACAUUUGCUUGGACACAGGUGCACUCACUAUUCCUUCACUCUCAUAGCGCGAUGGGACGACAAUCCGACACCACCGGA
rnacentral:lncRNA from 1 species